UGUGUCCAGCUUGUUUAGAGAAGAGCAAAGAGGCCAGUCUAAUAGGAGCAGGUCAGAUUAUGUUGGGUCUGUAGGUCACUGUAAGGGCUUUGGCUUCUGCUUUGAGUAAGAUAGGAAACCAUUGGAAGGCUAUUCGCCAAGGAGAAACAUCUGACUUGGUUUUACGAAGGCAAAAUUUAUCUACCCUAUUGGCAGCAUUUUGAAAGGAACUGGAUAUCCUAGGUGAAGGCGAGGGUGAACAGGACGUGGUAGCUCGGAUUCUGUGUUACUGCCCCUUCCAGUCUCCCUAGGCACCACCUUCUCCUUUUCAUUCAUUCAAAACAUCCUUAUUUAAUUAAUUACUUUCUUUUUAUGGCCAGCCCUGUGGCAUAUGGAAGGAUUGGGAAGUUCCCAAGCCGCAGCUGUGGCAACACAAGAUACUUGACCCACUGUGCAAGGCUGGAGAUUGAACCCAUGCCUCCGAGGCAACCGGAGCCACAGUAGUUGGAGUCUUUUUUUUGUUUGUUUUGUUUUGUUUUGUCUUUUUGCCAUUUUCUUGGGAUGCUCCUGUGGCAUAUAGAGGUUCCCAGGAUAGGGGUCGAAUCAGAGCUGUAGCUGCCGGCCUCUGCCAGAGCCACAGCAAUGUAGGAUCCAAGCUGCGUCUGUGACCUAUGCCACAGCUCACGGCAACGCUGGAUCCUUAACCCACUGAGCGAGGCCAGGGAUGAAUCCGAAACCUCACAGUUCCUAGUCGGAUUCGUUAGCCACUGAGCCACUAUGGGAACUCCAGUAGUUGGAGUCUUAACCCACUGCACAACAGUGGGAACUCCCAACACUAAAAGAGCCUUUUUAGUGCCAGACUCUGAGGAUACAGUGAUGAGAACAGUGCAUGGAGUCUGACUUUUGUAGAACUUGUAGAAAGAUUGGAAGAUGGAUGUGAAAUAUACUUUAAGCAUUAACUUGUCUGGGUGCCCAGAGGCAUCUCUCCAGAGGAAAGGGUACCCAAGCUGAAAUCUGAUGUCUGAGAAGAAGCAGAAGAGGUGAGGGGAUGGAGGGAACAGUUCAGGCUGAAGAAGCUGCAGGUGUGAAAGUGCUGAAGCUGGGGCAAGUACUACAUCUUCUGGACCCUAGACACUUGGUGAGGGACCAUUAUGGCCAGGGUGUAGAAAACAAGGGGACCUAGGGGUGGACACGGUGGCAUGAAAUAAAGCUGAAGAGGUGGAGAGGGGGCAGACCAUGAAGGACUCUGUCGGAAGCCACCAGAUGAUGCCAUGAUAAGCUUUAUAUUUUGAGACGGCCAUUCAUUCUGGCUGCAGAGUGGUGGAUGGUUUGUCAGGUGGAGCCUGGUGAGGACAUUGUUGAUGUCAUCCAGGCAAGAAGGGAUGGAGGCUUGGACCAGCCAUGUGACAGGGAUGUGAAGAGAAGGGAGCGGAUUUGGGCCAUGAUAGGAGGCGAAAUGAUGGAAUUUGGUGCUUGAUUGAAUGUGGGACAUGUUAAGGUUGACGUUCAGGUUUCCGGCUUGGGCAGCUAGAAGACACUAGUGCUAACUUCUGACACUGGGAGUCUGGGGAUGCACGGGCUUGUCGGGGAGAAGCAGGAGCUGACUCUUGGUAGCUGUGAGGCAUCUAUGGAAAUGAAGCAGCUGAGGACAUGCACUGGAGAUGGAUAUUUGGAAAUCCUCAGCACAAAGAUGGUAAUUGAACCCUGCCUGUGGCUUGACCCCAAAGAGCGUGAAGUGAAGAGGCCCUGGGUGGGGGGUGUUGAGGGGUGCCACAUGAACAACCUGGGCAACACCGUAGGGGCUUGAGAUGCAGAGCCAUCCAAGGAAAGCCAGGAGAGAGUGGUUCUUUGAACUCUAGGGCAGAAAGCAGCGGCUUGGAUUUGCAGCCAUAGCUCCAGAUCCGGGUCCCUAUCUUCUUGAGGUUGUUGAGUUGCUGCUUUAAUGAGAUUGGAUCCUUCUGACUGUCUCCUCUUCAGCUCCAGAAAAAGCAUUUGCUGCCCCAUCUUGGAGAUGAGCUGCCUUGUCUGCUUCCUCUUCUCCUGCCUCACCCAAAUCAGACUGACUUUACUCCCAUCUUUCCAGAUGUGGGCAGCUUAAGAGACGGUCUUGGAUUCCUUAGUCACCACAGAGUAAAGUGGGGAAUGGAUCUCUUUCUUUUCCGUUUUUCUUUUUUUCUUUCUCUCUUUCUCUUCCUUCCCUUCCUUCCUUCCUUCUCUUCUUCCCCUUCGCCCCCCUCUUCUUCCAUCCUUCCUUCCUGGCCAUGUGAGAUAUACGGUGACUGAAUGAUGAGUCAGGCACCAGCAGAGAUGACUGGUGUCUGGGGUGUCUUGGAGAGUCCAGGAUCUGUGAUAUUUUCAGAGCAGGAACAUGUAGAUACAAACACUCUUAGAGAUGCUGACUGGAGACAAGGGAGCUAUGUACCAUAGCAUUUUUGGAAGAUGUAAAACCGUGGCAAGCACAAUCAAAUACGAUAUCCUUUCUCAACUUUGGAGCGCUGGAUUCUGGGAUCUCGUUUAUUGGACUCUUCUCAGGUUCUUCAUCCUUUUUUUAAGUCCACACAUAUUUUUAGGCAUGCAUUGUACUUACACAUUGGUAUCCCCACUCUCUGUUUUCAAAGUAAAAAGUCAGAUGGUAUUUUGGUGAAGGGAGAGAGGGAGACAGAGGGAGAGAGAGGAAACGCUAUACUUAUCCUUGCUCCAUGUAGGCAUCUGGUCUGAGACAGUCAUCCCAGGAGGUUUGGGGUGACGGGCUUUGUUCCUGGCAGGGAUUGGAGGACCGGGUCACUGCCUGUGUGUCAUAGCCCACCAGGCAUCACACACACACACACACACACACCGCAGGUUGGGAUGAGUGUUCUGAAUUUCCUCUGAUGCAUGUUAUCCUUUCAAGUGUGUGGAAUGAGUCUGGGAGACAGAAGACCCUGGGUGGAGGACGACAGAAGAAAAUGUGCACGUGUGAGGUGGCUGGAUGUGGGGGAGUGGUUUUUUUUUUUUUUUUCCUUUUUUUUCCUCUGUUGAUCUAAGUUCAACUCAAUCAGUUCAGAGCUGCAUUCAGGACUGAAAAAACGACUUGGGAGAUGCCAGUCCUGAUACUGUGUGAGAAGGUGUUUGGGGACUGAAGUGUCGGAUUUGGUUGGAUGUGAUGAACCCCAGACCCUCGACUCGUCUUUGUGCUCUAACUCCAGAUGAUUCGGUUAUUCUCAAGUUGUUUAUAAUGACAAGUAGUUUUAAAAACCCCAAUGGUGGCCACACUUCCACCUUGGGCUGUGUAUAAGAGACUUCUGCAGGGUAUCCUUCUGCAUCCUGUCCGUGAGAAGGCUCACCUUAGCAGGGCUGUUCUGCAAAGGGACUGAGGGACUCUGGGGUCCACACUGUGGUUUUUGCUUUCUGGGGAGCAGCGGCAGUUGGUGGGGUUGGAGGCCCACCCGGGGUGCACACAGAUGCCUAGUCUGGCCUGGGCAGCAUGCAGCCUUGAUGGGACAGCUGGAGAUAAAGGAGGAAGCCUUCCAUCAGGGAAGAGGCAGGAGGACAUUGAAAGCGUGUAACAGAGCGGGGCAGGAGGGGGAAGAUUUUUUUACUGUGUUCCAGCCUAAACAAAUGGGAUGACAGUGAGUUUUUCCUAAACUCCUUCAAAAUGCACCUUCCCAGUUGGGGCUAGUUCGUGCUUUGAUUUUCUCAGGCAACAAGCCCCCAGCCCUCCUCCUAAAAUCCUGAUUGGAUUAGCUUCUUUCAUCCACUGAGCAUCUCGUUAAAAUUGCUUAUCCACUGCAAGGAGGGGGUACCCUCAAAUAUUGUUUGGAUAGUGGGAUUCUGUGUGUUUUUCUCUCUUUUCUAAACCUUAUGUAUUGUUGGUAUAUCAUUUUGAAAUAGAAAUUAUUCUAUAAAAAAACCCCUUCCGUUUUCCUCCCAAAGCUCAUUAAGGCUAAAUAGGCUCCAUAUCACCAAAGGAUGAUUUAAAAACAGUGUGGUGAUUAAAUUGCAAAUGAAGCAAAAACACACGGAUUCAUUUUUCCCACCAGAGAUGUGAUUGCAAGUUUAUUUUCUAUUUUGUUGAAAAUAAUAUUUUGUAAAAUUAUUUUGUAAAAAAAAAUGAAAAGAGCUCCAUCAAACUAAUGCUGGAUCUGGGGCUUGGGAAAGAAGUCACAUAAAACUGGGGUUCACAUUUGGACUUGCCACGUGUUUGGAUUUGGAAAUUCAUUUCCCCAGACAAGGGGGAGACGUUUGAUAAUUCACAAAGCCUGAACUUGCACGUCACAUGAUAGGACCUCAUUGGGUAGCAUUGCCUUUGGGUUCAGACCCAAAAUAGAGGACCAGCUAGACUCUUGAUUCACCGUGGUCUGAGCAGGUAACACUCAUUUCUGACAGCCUCAAGUUGCAAAAUGGUAAUUAUUCCGGCUCUUCCCCAUUCAAUUUGGAUGUGCCUACUGGGCGUGAUUCUCCUAAGGGUUAUUUAGCAUAAAAAGCACCUUGCUAAUCAGGACUAAUAAUCAGGAUUAGUAAUGAUGAAUAACAACAAUAAAAAGUGAAUUAUCCCGUGUUAGAUGGGGGAGCUGGGCUUGGCUGCCUUCAUUUGAAUUAUGUCUUGGUUUCCGCUGAGCGGUGGUGUCUCUAAUUAGCUGACUUGUAGGUAACUGAAUGGCUGAGAUGGGGAGGCCAGAAUUCUUUCCUCCCCAUUCCCGCCGUUGAGGGAGGGAAGACGUGGUGACUCCAGCCACCAUGUGGGUUGUUUUUUCUUUUUUUAAUUUUUUUAGUAUAGUUGAUUUACAAUACUCCUUCAAUUUCUGCUGUACAGCAAAGUGACCCAGCCACCUAUACACACACAAUUCUUCUUUUUUCCAUUAUGUUCUAACCCAAGAGACCGAACAGAGUUUCCUGUGCUUUACAGCAGGACCCCAUCACCCAUCCAUUCUAACUGUAACAGUGUGCAUCUACCAACCCCAAACUCCCCAGCUGUCCCCCUCCCUCUCCCUCCCGGCUAGCAAAUGCAGGUCUGCCCUCCACAUCCGUGAUCUGUUUCUGCUUUGUAGAUUAUUUGUGCCAUAGUUUAGGGCAACAAAUCAAAUGUCUAUUGACAGGUGAAUGGAUUAAGCUGAUGUGGUACAGAUAUACAAUGGAAUACUAUUCAGCCAUUAGAAAGUACACAAUAAUGCUAUUUGCAGCAACACGGAUGGAACUAGAGAUUCUAAGACUAAGUGAAGUAAGUUGGAAAGAGAAAGACAAACACCAUCUGACAUCACUUAUAUGUGGAGUCUAAAAUAUGAUGUGGUUUUUGCACGGUGCAUGAUGGAUUUAUUUUUGUUCUUUUUCCUGGUGUACCAUCUGGAAAGACAGCGGGCAUCUCCAGAACAGGGGCCUGAUCCCUUGGCUGCUUUGCAAACCGCUGCACAGAGCUUUUUGUGUGUGGUAGGCUAAAUGCAGCCUAAGAAGGCUGACGUGGCUGAUGCAGGGCACUGAAGAUGCUCCCAGAGACCACGUGAGACAACAGAGUUGUAGCAAAGCUGGGACACUCAGCACCUUUGGAGCUCACAGCAGGGCUUGGCGUGAUGCGGCUGGGUGGGAAGAGCUUCCCUUCCCCCUGGGAGCAUAUGCUUCCAGAGAUCAGGGGCCCCUGGAAGGGAAAGGUGAAUCUGGCCCUGGCCUGCUGCUAAGGAGGAAAAAGAACAGCCCUGCUUGGUUAGCACUUAGCCCAAUGCUAACUGGCCUGUUAAUCUCCAGUCGUGGUUGGUUGAGAAAGGACACAAAGCCAAGUGUAGCGGCUGCCAGGAGGACAAGUUCCCAGCAUUAGACGAGGAGUCGUGAGUGGACUUGGCCCUGCUAUUUCUGACCCUGGGGUUCACGGCAGAGACGGUAGUCUGAGGAAGAAGAUGGAUUCCUCUCCGUAUGCCUCAAUCAGGCCAAUUGGCCCUUGGAUGAUAGUUACAUUCUUUAGAGACAUUUUUUGUUUGUAACCACGGUGAUGGGGGUCUACUGGCAUCCAGUGGGUGCCAAGGAACACUGCUGAUUUUCCCACAAUGCACAAGACGGCCUCUGCCACAAAGCAUUGUCUGGUCCAAAAUGUUGAUAGUGCUAAGGCUGAGUGACCCUGCUCUGGAAGGUGAGGGCUGGGUCAGUUGUUGACAUGAGUUUUAGUCUGUAGUCACAGAACUGUGUGCUAGAUCAUUUCAGAGCUCCUUCCUAGCCCUUGGCAUUUUUUUGUUUUUUUUUUUUUCCCCUCGGCAUAUGGAAGUUUCAGGCCAGCGACUGAAUCUGAGCCACAGCUACAGCAACGCCAGAUCCUUUAACCCACUGCCCCAGGCUGGGGAUUAAACCCACACCUUUGCAGCGACCCGAGCGACUGCAGUCAGAUUCUUAACACACGGUCCACUGUACCACAGUAAGAACUCCCUUUUUUUUUUCCUUUAAAAAAAUCAAAAA
rnacentral:lncRNA from 1 species